GACGAACGCUGGCGGCGUGCUUAACACAUGCAAGUCGAACGGAAAGGCCCUGCUUUUGUGGGGUGCUCGAGUGGCGAACGGGUGAGUAACGCGUGAGUAACCUGCCCUUGACUUUGGGAUAACUUCAGGAAACUGGGGCUAAUACCGGAUAGGAGCUCCUGCUGCAUGGUGGGGGUUGGAAAGUUUCGGCGGUUGGGGAUGGACUCGCGGCUUAUCAGCUUGUUGGUGGGGUAGUGGCUUACCAAGGCUUUGACGGGUAGCCGGCCUGAGAGGGUGACCGGCCACAGUGGGACUGAGAUACGGCCCAGACUCCUACGGGAGGCAGCAGUGGGGAAUAUUGCACAAUGGGCGGAAGCCUGAUGCAGCAACGCCGCGUGCGGGAUGACGGCCUUCGGGUUGUAAACCGCUUUCGCCUGUGACGAAGCGUGAGUGACGGUAAUGGGUAAAGAAGCACCGGCUAACUACGUG
rnacentral:rRNA from 1 species